CUGAGAUAAAAUGGUGUUAAGUGGUUCCUGGUGGCUCCUGACUAUCUAUCUUCUGUCCUGGGAGCUUGGGAUUUUGGUCCACCAGACAGAAUCACGGCCAAUAGGAGAACCCUUAAACACUGAUGACUUUGAAAUGAUGGUUCAAAAGGAAAUACCUAGAAUUUCCAUCCAGUCUCUAAAGCAUCAGAAGAAUAUGAUGGAGGAUGUAGAAAAUAACAUCUUGAAUGUCAGUGCCCAAGAUUGUGAGAUCCUUGAUAAGUAUUUUGCUAAAUUUCAGCAAGUCUACAUUGCUGAGUCAUUCUCCAAGAGACUCCAGAAGCUGAAGGGAUUGCUCAAGAGAUGUCCAAUAUCACCCAUGAAAAAUGUGUUCUCAUUUUAUGGCAGAUGAAAAUUCAGAGUGAAGUGACUUUCUGGUGAUCUCAACCUGUGAUUGUUCCCAACCCAGAGCAAGUGCAAGGCAUUGUGAACACAGCUGAGCUCUGCAUUCCAUUUUGAACUCUUGAGAUGCAGCAACCUAACUGCAAAAGGCCAACCCUGUCUGCAAAGAAGAACUAGUCACUUGCUAAAGCACACAGCCCCCCU
rnacentral:lncRNA from 1 species